GGCCACACCCACAGCAUAUGGAGGCUCCCAGGCUAGGGGUCAAAUCAGACCCUUAGCCGCCAGCCACACCACACCACAGCCACAGCAAUGUGGGAUCCAAGCCACACCUGUGGCCUACACCACAGUUCACAGCAACACCGGAUCCUUAACCCACUGAGUGAGGCCAGGAAUUGAACCUGCGUCCUCCUGGAUGCUAGUCAAUAUGUUUCCACUGAGCCACUACAGGAACUCCAAGUGAGUGUUUUUUUUAAGAAUGCAUUGCAAACUAAAAAAUUACUUCUUGGAUACUUAAACUUUUUGCUAUGACUUUAUAAAGAAUCUGAUAAAAGUCCAUUUGCAUUCUUAAUUUUUGUCUUCUGUGCAAUUUUUAAAUAUUGUGGUGUUACGACUUUUACAGAAGUACCUUAUCAUAGUAUCUCACUGAAGCAGUGCUUUUUAGGCCAAACCAAUAGCUAUUUUUCUUGUUCAUUUCUAUUAUAAUCACCUUGAAUUUUGGUUUUCUUACCAAUUGACAGUAAAAAAAAAAAAAAAAUGACAACAUUUUUAACUUUACUAGGUAUAUCUUAAUUGACAUUAGUCCUCAGGUUUUAAUGGUUAGCAUCACUGAGUUCUUUACUCAGCGAGUUUUUUUUUUAAUCGAUCUCGGAAGAGAGCCAAUGCCCAUGGUUACAAACUAGAGCAAUUUAGGCACAGUUUCUGCUGUUUAGAAGCUGUGUUUAGUUGGAGAAAUAAGACCUACGUAUAUGCAAUAAUUAAUAGGAACAGCCAUAUGAGACAUGUAGCUAAGGAAAAAUCAGUCCAGGUUGGAACGAUUGUUUGUUUACACAUCAAAAAGAUGAACGUUGAUUUGAACCUUGAAGAAUGUCUGGCUUUUGUAAGAUGGAGAGGAAUGUAAAGGACAGGAUUAACGGGUGCGUGAGUGAUAUGAGCAUAUCGUGUUGAAGGAUGGUUAGAAAACGGCUUAGUCUGAGGUGGGGACUCAAACAGAACCAAAGCUGGGUUUCAGAAAGAGGCUAGAUAGAAGAAGGAAGGGAAAGAUGUGAACAUUUAGCACCUACUUUUUGCUGGGUAUUUUACUUGAAUUAUGCCACGUACUUCUCAAGAUACAACCCUGUAGUUUGAUGUUGUGAUCACAGUUUUGCAAUCCGGGAUAGAAUCUUGCAGAAGGCCACCAAACAAAGAAGUGAGGGGGUUCAGAUGUGAAUAGUCAAGUCUUUGUGCUGUCAAAGUUUCUACUGUUUCACCUGUCCCAUCCGAAGAUGAUGGGCAAAACAAGGAUGGUCCUGCUGUUUAUGCAAAUCGAACAUACUUAAACAUAGCAUUUCUUUUUCUUCUUCCCACAUCAAUUUAUUCCAACUUGUUUUUAUGAAUGCCUUCAUCAUUCUUGCAGUAACUCAGACUUAAAACACUGGAGUCAUAUUUAUUCUUAAAAUUAGCUUUUAUUUCAUAUAUGAUGUCUAAAUGAAAAGUAGAAGAAGAAGUGGACAAAGAGUAGAUUAUGCAUAAAAACAUUCUUAAUUAUCAUUACUACAGUAAGCCUAAAUUGUUGGUGAUCUCCGUUGUCCUACAUAUACUAAUCAUGUUCCACGGUUUACUAGAUCUAUUAUCUAUUCACGGUUUCAGCAUAGUAUAUAGAAGGAGUUAAUUCAACUAUCUAGUCUUAGCCUUGUGUAUUUUGCUGUAAUACAGUAGAGUUUUAGCUUGUAUUUUUUCCUCCAUAUUUUAGCAUUUUAUCAUAUAUUGAUUUCAAUUUUUUUCUCCAUGUUAGUUUUUCUCUCUUGAGUGAGAUUAUGAAAAGGCAAGAAUGAUUUUAUAUGCUUCCUCAAUAUCUUCCCCACACUUUGCCCAUCACCUGGUAGUCAAAAUGUAUCUACUGAUUUACAUUACCUGAAAUGAUCUGAAACAUGUUGAUGUAUAAAAUACCAUAGCUUUUUUUCUGUUCCAGUGUCUAUAUGUAGCCCAUACCAACCAUCACUUAAUCCUAAACCCUUCAUGGGAGUAACUCAAUAAUAUUGGCAAAAUGGUUAACAGAACUUUUUAGUGGACAAUGAAGAGCUCUUCAAAAAAUGUUGAAGUACCAUCAUUUCUGUGAACUCCAUUGCUGGGUCUUGUCUUACAAGUACCAUUCUCUGAUCAAGAAACCAUUUAUAGCAAUGUCUAUAUUCUAGCAAUUCCUUCGGACUUAAUUAGGGGUGAAAUUUAAGAUAUUCUGCUUCCAAGUAUGAGGACCUAAGACCCUACUGGAAUCCACUCUCUUCAAAGGAAAAUAGCUAUAAAUCUUGGACAUAAUACAGAACAACUGACUGAAGGUAGCAGAGGGUGAAGAGAAGCAGAAAGUCUGGUGACAGGUGCAUGCCGACUUGGGGAAGGGAGAUCGGGAGCUAUAGAAAUAGGUUCAAGUAUUUUAGCCUGGGGCCAAGUCUAGUACCUCUGGAUACAUGAGGCACAGGGAUAGGAAAACUCAGUCUUUCUAGUGGGGGACACAGAAAAGUGAAACCAUUUGGCUUUAGGAGCCACAAUCCUUAGAGUUUGGCCUGGGUCCUCAUGCUGAACUUUAGCCAGCACAUAGAGUUACCAGCAAGAAGACUAGAGGAGCAAAUGGCUAAUGGCAAAAAGUUGUGAACCAGCCCAUCUAUCCCCUUGUAAGGUACUUCGUCCCAGCCCACCAAUGAUUCUGCUUAAAUCUCAGUAACAAGGACUGUGUAAUAUGGCCACCCCUGGUUGUUAAGUGUAGUUUUGUAAAUCUAGGCACCCCGCUACCCCCGAUGAUAUCAGGGUUCUGUUAACAAGGAGGGAGACUAGGCACCCAGCAGGAUUUUCCAUAGUUACAGAUGCUUUAUAUAUGCUGAUCCUCCUCUAGGAUCAACUGUCACAUCUGCUGAGACGCUUGCUCAAGCAGGGAUGAAAAGCAUUCCUUAUACACCAAAAGACUUUUCCUUACCUUACAUGUAAGUCUAAAGAUAUUACCUGUUAUCUUUUUUCUUUUCUCUCUCUCUUUUUUAAAUUUUUUUAUUUUUGCUUUUUAGGGCCGCACCCAUGGCAUAUGGAGAUUCCCAGGAGAGGGGUCAAAUAGGAGAGGUAGCUUCUGGCCUAUGCCAAAGCAGUGCCGGAUCUGAGCCACCUCUAAAUCAAAAGUUUCAAGCGGUAACCCACAAGGGAAACAAAGUUUGAAGUUCCUUUUAUUCUUCUUCUCCUGAACAUGGCCUUUUCUCAUGUAGGCACAACCCCAUCUUCCUAAAGAUAUAGAUUGAAUUUCUUGGCCUCAAAAAACAAGAUUUUAGUGAUGUAGCUUCUGUGUUUUCCUAAUUUUUUGUUUUCAUGAUAUUUAGCAAUCAUUACUACUUGGAUAUCUUUUGUCUUUUAUUUUUUUUCUUUUACCAUUCUCUCUCUUUCUCUCCCCCACCCCUUACUGUCCUCACUCCAGCCCUCACUCCCACGUGCAUGUGUUUUCUGUAAUCAAUUCAUUUGUAGAAGAGAGAAAAUAGUAUUUAAUAAACACCUUGUGUCAGACACUAUGAUUGUGUAGACGGAUGCUCAUUUAAUCUUCAGAGCAGCCAUGCAUUCCUCAUAACCCUAUUGUAUAAAAAGUGUAUUGUAGGCUCAGAGAGGCCGCAAUUACCCCAAGAUCAGCAGUUAAGACCCUAGUUUCUCUGACAUUCUAUGCAUUUCUAAUGUUACCAUGUUUUAUUAUUAAUACUUUAUAACAUUGCUAACUAUUGCUGGGGGGGGCACUCUUUAAUUUACAUAGUUAUAGCAUGUUUUAUAACUCAGGUCCAAUUACAUUUUAUUCAGAUUCAGAAUUCAUUUCCUAAAUUAUGACAGAUUAUUGGGAGUCUUUCUGACUCAACUUUGCAUUGUUCUCUUUAAAUGUACAAAUAAUAUGGCUAGUUAAUCAAGAAUUGUCUAUUUCUAAAGAUCAGAAGUAAUAUUGAACAGCAUAGUUUUAAGGAAAAUUUCCUGUUGAAUCAAUGUAACAAAGAGUAGGGAAAAUAUACUGUAUGAGUAAAGACAUAGAAUUUUUUACAGAUCUAAUUUUACAAAGAAAGUCAUGUCCUGGCAUUUUGAAUGGGGCUAUAAAUUUAGUGAUAGUUCAGUGGCAAUAAUAGCAUAUUAAAUAGGACUCUUCAUUCCUGAAAUUUUAGGUUUUCUUAAUGGUAGUUGCCAUUACUGGGAGCAACCAACCUUGAGAGUGUAUUUAACUCAGGUUUUGGAGUAAUGCUUGAUAAAAUUUCAAUUUCUGUGACCCAGAAAUAUCGACGUCCUAAUUUUCUGAGUUAAAAACUUUCUUUUUAUGUUUUUGUCCUUGCUUAAAUGGGCAAAUGCUGGUUAAAUGUCUUAGAGAAUACAGUAUUUUCAGGAAAUGACAAGAAGUAUUGAUUUACCUUAUUCUUCUCCCCUCAAGCAGAACAGCCAUAAAAUAUGUUCAAUUUCUUCUCAUUUCUGUCUGCAGAUUACACUGACUUGUGGUGCAGAUGACGAGUGUGGACAUGAUAGGAGGAUAUUGACAGUUUCUGGGAUUUGACUUUAAAGCUUUAGCACUAAAAAGCACACUGACAAAUCCAGCGAUAACUCUAUUCACUUAAUUAUUGUAGUGCUAAACUUUAUUUCUUACUUAUAAAAACGAAUGCAGGCCUGACAAAGAAAAUACAGAUAAGAACCAUUCCUUUUGGAUUGAAAUUUCACGUUUAACAUGAAACCUGCUUUGGAACUAUUUUUGAAAAUUUAAACUAUUCCACAUAUAAUAUAUCAUUACAUUUCGAAAAAUGUAUCAUUAAAUGAAAUUAAUUCAAAUCUGGUAAAAAAAAAAUUUCUGUUCCCAGAUACUGAUUUUUUUUUAAAGGAUAAAAGGUUAAAAUUUAACUUAAUUUGACUUGUAUGUAAUUUUCAAUUAUGUCAACUGCCCUUAGAUUAGUCAAAGGUAAAUGAAUUCUUCCAGGACUAUAAUUUCUCUUGAGGAGUG
rnacentral:lncRNA from 1 species